rnacentral:rRNA from 1 species
UAAUACGUAGGGAGCAAGCGUUGUUCGGAUUUACUGGGCGUAAAGGGCGCGUAGGCGGCGCGGUAAGUCACUUGUGAAAUCUCUGAGCUUAACUCAGAACGGCCAAGUGAUACUGCAGUGCUAGAGUGCAGAAGGGGCAAUCGGAAUUCUUGGUGUAGCGGUGAAAUGCGUAGAUAUCAAGAGGAACACCUGAGGUGAAGACGGGUUGCUGGGCUGACACUGACGCUGAGGCGCGAAAGCCAGGGGAGCAAACGGG